rnacentral:tRNA from 1 species
AAGUUUAGGUUAAAUACCACAAACCAGGGACCUUCAAAGCCCCAAAUAAGAGCCCACUAACCUCUUACCUUCU